UACGUAGGGGGCAAGCGUUAUCCGGAUUUACUGGGUGUAAAGGGAGCGUAGACGGCAUGGCAAGCCAGAUGUGAAAUACCGGGGCUCAACCCCGGGACUGCAUUUGGAACUGUUAAGCUGGAGUGUCGGAGAGGCAGGCGGAAUUCCUAGUGUAGCGGUGAAAUGCGUAGAUAUUAGGAGGAACACCAGUGGCGAAGGCGGCCUGCUGGACGAUGACUGACGUUGAGGCUCGAAAGCGUGGGGAGCAAACA
rnacentral:rRNA from 1 species